rnacentral:rRNA from 1 species
AUUGAACGCUGGCGGCAGGCCUAACACAUGCAAGUCGAGCGGAGCGGCGGACGGGUGAGUAAUGACUAGGAAUCUGCCUGGUAGUGGGGGAUAACGUCCGGAAACGGGCGCUAAUACCGCAUACUAUCAGAUUAGCCUAGGUCGGAUUAGCUAGUUGGUGGGGUAAAGGUAUACAAAGGCGACGAUCCGUAACUGGUCUGAGAGGAUGAUCAGUAACACUGGAACGUAGACACGGUCCAGACUCCUACGGGAGGCAGCAGUGGGGAAUAUUGGACAAUGGGCGAAAGCCUGAUCCAGCAAUGCCGCGUGGGUGAAGAAGGUCUUCGGAUUGUAAAGCACUUUAAGUUGGGAGGCGUUACCAAAAGAAUAAGCACCGGCUAACGUCGUGCCAGCAGCCGCGGUAAUUC